CAUAAAACGAUCGCGUCGCAAUAGAGAGGCGCACGCGUGAAUGCGUUGUUACCUCACCGACGAUUAAUCUACGGUCCAUAUUCUGUACAACAUUCUGUAGCGUAAGAAACGUAAAUUGGUAAACGUUCGACAGAGAAAGAGAAAGACGGAGAAAAGCGUGCAGACUGAGGGGAAGGCACGUCACUUCCGGUCCAUUAAGAGCAACACGGGGGUCACUAGUGUUGUGUGCAGGGAGCUAAUUAUAAGAAAGGGAGGCAUACACCGUGAUAAUCGAUAAUUUGUCGGUGUAACCGAGAAGGCGUAAGUAUAAAACUAGAGGAAACGAAGCGAAACGGAACGAGGCGAGGCGAGAAAAAGAAAAAGAAAGAAAAAGAGCUUACCUGAUUUGCGUGUGAUAGGCGGGAGCUGUGUGUUCGGUGUGCGUGGUCAGGAGUUCGGCCGGAACGGUGUCCAUGUCGAUCGGUUGAGUCCUCGAUAUCGCGAUAGGCUGCACCUGAAAUACGCCGGGUGUUGUCGGUGAAGGUUGUGGACCUAGCAACGAGACGCGUACCAUUUCCCUACCUUCGCUGUAAAAAAAAAAAAAAAAAA